AAUCCAAUUAAAAUUUUAUUAAUUAUAGCAAGUAGAAUAUGAGCAAAAACAGCGCUGGACGACAGGGGAGUCUGCGCUCCGCCAACUGCCGUUCUGAGCAGUUCAAACCGUCCCUUUUGUGCAUCUUUACUUCCGUGUUCAUGAAGUAGUGGAGGUACUCUGCGCAUGCUUCAGUUGUUGUUAGGGGGUCGUUUUCUGCCUCCUGGUGGUCGUUGAGGCCGAAGUAAGAAGUCUUCCUCCUUUGUCCCAUAGUUGACCCCUCAUUCAUAUGUCCUUAUAUGGGGUUGUUUGUCCUGUUUCUGUCGGUUCCUGGAAGUCUGGCGGUUAUCUCGCGAUUGUGGUUAUCUUAUCUUACGCAAACGGUGUCUGGUAGCUGUUUGCAUAAGCGAUUUCACAUCUUUUGUUGCCUAACCUUUACAUUGAGCUUAACAUAAAUCUUAAUAAACAAUAUCCUAGUCCAUAGUUUCUCACAAUCCCCCCUUUUUCUUUUUAUCCUAUUAUUGUUUAUUAGAUGCUACUUUCAUUUUCGGCACUGCGAACAAACCUUUUUCCACAAUCCCAACAUUUAUCAUAACACUCACAAGGUAAUACCUCACAAUUACAAAAGGCAUAGUUCUCACGUGGCAUAACGCAUUCACAACAAUCUUCAUCCUCAUUAAUAGAUACACUCUUAUAUUUUGCCCCAGACCUCGUAGUUAAAAUAAGCAGUUUAGCUAUGUCAAACCGUUCUUUAAUAAAGUGUAAAAUAUAGCGUAAUAUACAAGGCCCAAAUAUGAGUCCCAAAAUCAACAUGAUAAGCGGUCCUGCUAAGGCGGACAACAAAGUGGUUAGCCAAGGUGAAACAUUAAACCAGUUUUCGUACCAUGACUUGCCCGCCUCACGAUCUUUCUUACGUUGAUCUAACCUUUUCCGGAGUUCAGACAUGGUGUCCUGGACUACUCCAGUAUGGUCAGCAAAAGAGCAACAUUCUUCAUUGAGAGCUACACAUAACCCUCCUUCCUUUAAGAACAAUAGAUCUAAUCCUCUUCUAUUUUGCAGUACUACUUCUGAUAAAGACUUUACUGAAGUGGCUAAAUUUUGGAUAGAUUGUUCUAUUUUUGCUAAAUCUUCAUCUACAGCCAUCUGUAAACUUUGUAACUCCUGACCUUUUACUAGGGAGGCUAUGCCUGUACCUGCUCCAACUCUGCCCGCUAUCAGCAGGGUAGCUAGGGUUACUGCUGUAAUUGGCUCUCGUUUUUGUCUAUUCAGGUCUCCUUCAAAGUGGCGUAACACCUCCUCAGAGGUGUGAUAGAUCAGACGAGGAACAAUAAUCACCUGUACGCAAAACUGAGAUUGAUCAAACACGUUUAGGGAUAGGCAAGGCGUUACUCCGAUGUCUGAACAAACCCAUUUAGCUCCUGGUGUCGGGAUAGCCCAUUUGUCAUUUUGAUUCUUGUGUUUCUCUAUAUUGGUGUUAGUGACUGUUCGGUUGCACAAAGGCUGAUACUUUUCGGGAACUGUACCUAUACAUUUUCCUUGACCUGUUACUAAUUGAAUAGUAAUUUCUUGCAUAUGGUUCCUCUGGUCAUCCCAUGGGCAUUCUCGUGGGUUUGAACCAUUAGACCAUUGAAUCCUACCUGGUUUUCCAAUUGCCUCAAAAUAUGGUGGUCUAACAUUAUAACAUAACCAACAUUCUUCAGUUAAAUUUGGUUUGCUUUCAUUAAGGGCACGAUAAGAGGCUUGCAUUAGAUUCCAUAAGGGGUCUUUGGAUUCUGACAACUCUAGAUCCCUGGAUGAGGAGAAUUCAGUCACAAUGUCAUUAGUUGUUUCCGAAAGGGAGUUUGGAGAAGUGGUUGCGACGCUUGCGGGGGCAACCUUUUCUUCAGAGAAAGUGGGUGGAUUCAGGACCAGGUUUGGUCCUACUGGUAAGGGAUCGUGGGGCAUCGGUCUUUUCAUUAUUUGAAAAAUUCCUCCUCUGUCUGCACCUGUUUCCCAAUAUCUAAUUCCCCAAUAUUUCCCUGCCAGCCAAAAGUCCUGAGCAGGAUUUUUUAUAGUUAUAUUGAUGCCCACACAAGGAAUCGGUUUACUUAAGCAAUGACCCCACCGGUCUCCGGUUAAUUUAGGUCUCUGGCAUCCUUCCGGUGACCACUUUAUUUCUAGAUAUUGGUCUCCAGGUGCGGACCACUCAGAGGCCCAUGUUUCGCACCCCCAAUAUGCACAGUAAUAAUGACCUGGCCAAUUACAGUAUCCUUUACCAGGGUUUGAUGCUGGACAUAUAUAAAUUGGUUUACAUAUAUCCGCUUCAUCUUUACGAUUUUCUUCAGUAAUUAGAUCAUGCAAACUCACAUUGAAACUAACUGUGCCCGGUGUAGUUCGUGUUUGGAUUGGAUUAUUUGGAUAUUUUAUGUUUGUUAUUGUCCAGUUCAUAGGUUCAUGAGGGUUUCCAUUUGCUUGGGUUAUUAUCAAUAACAAAACUAACGGUAUACCAGGAAAAAGGGUGUCUGUCAAUUUUGUCAAUUUAAGUAUAUUUUUACCAGUCCUGGGGAAGUUCGACCAUUGCUGCUUUUGCGUCCCAUUGUUUUGGUUCUUUUCUCCACAGUUUGUUGCUCUUCUGCCUCGCCCGUCGACUCGGUUGCUUUGAGCCACGGGGUGUACCAUCUUCUUGGCAGCAAGGGAAUUCUUCAGGAGAACAGCUGUUUCGGGCUUUCUGCCUGUUUAUAUAGGCUUCCCACUUUGCAGCUUUAACUAAUGGGGCAAAGCAAGAGUACUUCUUGCUUUGUCAGUACUUCUCUUCUGCACUUUAUAACCAAAAUUUCAGCUACAAAGGGGACUGGUUCGUUGGAGUGGUAGCAAUAAUAUUGAGGGUUUAUUCCUUUGGCAAAAAAUUUCCCACCACUCAUGGGAUUCCCGAAUAAUUUCUUGUUUAGACUCUAAUUGUUUUAAUUUCCACUCAGUGAGAGUUCUUUGGAUUUUCCAACACUGUGUGCAAACUCCUAUUGGAGGGUAUCCACAUUCACAAUGUGUCCACCAUUUAUCCUGGCAUACCUUACACCUAAAACAAGCAAAUGGAUAACAAUUGCAGUUCAAAUCAUUACACCUAAUUCGUAUAUCUAGAGUGCAUAUAUUAUUUACAUCAACAUAUCUUCUAUAUUUAAUAUUGUGAGGUUGCAUAAGUUUAGCAAUUUCCUUCAACACACUUUGUACGCUUCCAUAUAUAAUAGAAAAAAAGAGAAAUAAUUAUAGCAAAUAUAAACAGCAAUACACACUUUAUACCGAAAGGUAAUGCGGCAAAAUAAUCAAAUAAAGUCUUUAUCAUUACGUUAUCUUUUCAGGGUUAUCUUGGUGUCACCUGGAGUACUGAUUACUUUCCAGUGGGGUCUCGUCACUGGGCCUUUAAUGCGACUGGCAUGAGUCCAUCCACGCUCAGCAGUUCGGACAGCUGUUUCUGUUGUAAGCAAAACAAGAUAAGGUCCCUCCCAAUUGGGUUUUAGGGUUUCUUCCUUCCACACUUUAAUCAAUAUCCAAUCCCCAGGUUUAACAUUGUGAAUUUUUAAGUCCAAC
rnacentral:lncRNA from 1 species